ensembl:lncRNA
UCCAAACCUAAGAAAUAACAGAAAUGGUUGGCUACCCUGGGAGUCAGUCAGCAAAUAUUCCUGUGUCACUGUGGCAUCCACCUUCAACUCACUGGGCCAGGAGCUCUGACAACAAUCCUUUGAAGCAGGUCACUUGAAGGACUAUCCUAUUUUUUUUUCCAAAAACUGGGACACAGACUUCCCCAUGAUCAACUUCUGCACAGUCUGGACAGCUUUCUGGCAGCAGUAGAGGUUGGCCCUGCAGCUUUGGGCAAGGCCCAUGGACAGAGAGAUCGCACCUGAUGGGAACAAUCUUAAAAGCCAUCUGAUUCUGUGUCCAAAGGAUAUAUCCACAGACAUGUUUGCCCGUCUUUGUAGGCGCUUUGGGAGAGUUGGUGUUGAUAGAGAAGAGUCUAGAGUGAAGCAAACGAAACCUAAAGAGGCCUGCAGACAGACGUCAUCCCCUGAAAAUGUCCUAAACAAGGUGCAGGCCAACGAGGAAGAGGAGAGGCUGAAUAGAGAACUGGAGCUAACUACCAAGGAGAGAAAUGAGCUGACAGAUCGCCUCCUUUAUGUGACAGGUGGAUCCAUGAGCAAGAGGUAUGCAUUGCUCCAAACAAACGACCUUGUUCUAAACCUCAUCUCCCAUAGAGAGGAGAUUCAGAACCUGACCCUAACUGAGGAGUGAGUUUGAAAAUAGACUCUCUGAUUCCGCCUGUUGAAAAUCUGAACUUUCGAUCUGAGUGAAGAUUUCAGGGAUAAAGUCACUGGAGCAUGAGUUCCCACUGUACAAUUGGAAAGCCC